rnacentral:rRNA from 1 species
UACGUAGGAGGCAAGCGUUGUCCGGAAUUACUGGGCGUAAAGCGCGUGUAGGUGGUGGGACAAGUCUGCUGUGAAAGCGCCUGGCUUAACCGGGCGAGGUCGGCGGAAACUGUCCGACUCGAGGACGGUAGAGGGGGGUGGAAUUCCCGGUGUAGUGGUGAAAUGCGUAGAGAUCGGGAGGAACACCUGUGGCGAAGGCGGCCUGCUGGGCAGUAGCCGAAAGGCUUGAAAGCUGACGCUGAGGCGCGACAGCGUGGGGAGCAAACAGG